GCGACUGCUGCCUAUGAUUACACUUGCUGUCUGAAACACUUGUGUAGAUUUUCUUCAGCAUUCGUCACUACCACUGAGGCAGCAGUCUC